rnacentral:lncRNA from 1 species
CAUCACCCCACCAGUCCGGAGAUAGUGGCGCGAGGGGGCGGGGCCUCGGCUCUGAUAGGCUCCCUCCUUGCUCGGAGCCCCGCCCAGCCCCCCGGUGGCGGAGAGUGCCCGCUUCCGUGUGGGCGGGUCGUGGAGGGGCGUGCUACCCAGGGACGGUUCUAGAUGCAGCCCCUAACCAUCUUGAACCAGGUUCGGCAAGGAAGCGGGAGGAGUGAAGACUGCAUUUCCUGAAGGAGGUGUACCGGAGCGGGGAACAUGGACGCGAACAGUGCUGGCUAGGUGACGCAUGCGCGCUGCGGCGCGACGGUGGCGGCGCCGACUCCAGCACGCCGGCUCCCAGGGCUGAGGGGCGGGGCGUUUCUCCCUCGAGUUCUUAAUGAAGAUGUGUGCUUCAAUGUGCCAAUUUCUUCAAGCACUUUUAACAAUGAAGUCUGGGCCUUUAUUUCAUAUACAGAUAUAACAGUGGACACCUGGACUCCUGGAAGCCCAGUUCUGUUCCAGCUCUUGAACUUGUCCCAGUGGGGACAUGAGAAGGAGAAGCCCCAGCCUCCCUACUUUGUGAAACUUAGAAUUAAACCUUGCAUCAGACCAGACAUUGGAUGUGUCUUCCCUGAGAUUUCUUGAGAAUCAUUUUAUCAUCCUAAGAGUCCAGGACGUGGGUCAGCUGAUAUCUUCAGCCUCAUAUAACCAAGAGAAAGAAGAGAGGAAGCACACUCAUAUGCUGACCCUGUUAUGCAUGGUUCUCCACUAGCAAAUGUAGUAUGAUCUGUGCCCUGGAAUAUGACUUAUAAUUAGAAUUUCUUCUCUUUGGAGAGGAGAUUGAAGUGGG